rnacentral:lncRNA from 1 species
ACAUCAUGCCUUGCCACAACAUAUCCUCAUCUCUGCUACGACUCCCUUUCAAUUUAUGCCAACAAAAUCCAAACCAGCCCCAAACGGCUAGCCACCACUGCCCUCUCCGUGGCCAGUUCUUCAGCUAGAUCAACGUUGGUAUCGAUGAAACAGCUGUCAAAAACCCAUGGCUUGAAACCCAGAGAGGCUAGUGCCAUGAUAGACUGUGUCGAGGAGGUGGCAGACUCAGUUGAUGAGCUUCACAAGUCCAUAGGGGAGAUGGGUCAUGCUGGAGGGCCCGAUUUUGAGUUUCGAAUGGGUAAUAUUCAAACAUGGGUGAGUGCAGCCUUAACAGAUGAGGAAACCUGCACGGAUGGGUUUGCUGGGAGAGCCAUGAAUGGGAACCUCAAAAAAACUGUACAGAGACACAUCAACAAGGUUGCUCGUUUGACUAGCAAUGCCCUGGCUCUUGUCAACAAGUAUGCCUCCACCCACACCCCUGCAUCACCAUGACGUUUGACCUCUCGGUUUGGGACUCAACCUUUUCCAUUAAAAUUUCCUUGAGUGCUAGCUGAUAGCUAAGUUUUUAGAACAGGUGAGUGAAAAAUACCUCAGCAGAUUCACUGUGAAAAUAGUAAUCAUUUUGUAAAAAAGGGCAAAUCGAAGAAAACAUGGGAUUAUGCACCAGGAUGGAUAAGAUCUAGAUGUCAGCAGUUUGUGGGUCUGUAACUAGUAAGCUUGUUCUAGAGCUUGGGUUAGUGAAUUGUGUAGGCUUGAAACACAUGCGAGUAUCAAAUAUUUGUACCAUAUUGAUAUUAAUUAGUAAAGCAGAGCAUAGUUUGUUGUGUGAUGUAAUUUAAACUAUCUUAGAGGAUUUUUUUCAUGUGUAUAACAAAACCCAAUCCACCCCCACUUUCAUAAAAAGGUAUACUAUAUAACUAAAUUUUAUACUUCAAGGUAAACAAACAAAGAAAAGAAAAGAAAAAUAAUCAUCAAUUUAUAGGUCAACCCCAGCUCAUUUCAUGUCACGAAAUUUCUCUUGGGUUUUAAUUUCAGGCCAACUUGGGCCAAGGCAGCCAUUCUGAGUUCAUGUCUUUUGUUGGCCCAACCCUCUUAAGGCCAGGAAAUCCACCUACUAGUCCAUUUCUCUUGUCCCAUCACACCUCAAUUUCUGCAAAUCACUUCCCACGGGCCACGCCCACUGAUCCUCGUCAGGGGCACAACUUGGGCGUGUUAGAUUUGAUGCAAUUAGAAUCUAACCUAAUCUUUGGAUUAACUUUAACAAUCAUUUUUAAUAUUUUUAUUGGAUUGAGGUUUGACAAGGACAAUGUUGUAGCAAUCUUAAUCUUUUAUCUAAUAUAAUAUUUUUAUAAUAUAUACAUAAACACAAUUCAAGUUCGACUUAAAACAAUGUUCUAUUUUAGAGUGCAGUUAAAGAGAUUGACUUGACCUAAUCUGAUAUUUGGGUGAACUUAGGUAAUUAUUUUUAAUAUUCGGGUUGAAUUUGAGUUAUGUUUUUUCGGCCUAAUCUCAAUUUGGGUUGGAUUCAGAUCACAAUUCAAACCUCACCUAAACUUAAUGUUUUUAUAAUUUUUAUAAUGCAUAUUAUCCCAUAUAAUAAUAUUUAUUUUCUUUUUAUUUUUUUUUAAAACUUUUAAAUUAUAUUAUAUCAUAUAGUUUUUUUCAUUAUUUUAGAAAUAAAUAUAAAUUUAUUUUUACUUGUUUUGUUGUUAUCUUAAUUUUUUUCCUAUUUCCUAUUUAAAUUUUCAUAUAAAUAUAUAAAAAAAAGUUUAAGAAAGUUUGUAGAUGAAUUUUGAGUUAUGCAAUUCAAUCAAUCUAAUCAUGUAAGUCUAAUUUAAGUAAUUUGAAUUCAAUUUGAGUUAAGUUUGGAUUGAGUGCCUCACAUGAGAUUAGAAUUGAUUACUUUUUUUAAUUGGGAUUACGCUUGGAUUGANNNNNNNNNNNNNNNNNNNNNNNNNNNNNNNNNNNNNNNNNNNNNNNNNNNNNNNNNNNNNNNNNNNNNNNNNNNNNNNNNNNNNNNNNNNNNNNNNNNNGGGAGAGCCAUGAAUGGGAACCUCAAAAAAACUGUACAGAGACACAUCAACAAGGUUGCACGUUUGACUAGCAAUGCCCUGGCUCUUGUCAACAAGUAUGCCUCCACCCACACCCCUGCAUCACCAUGACGUUUGACCUCUCGGUUUGGGACUCAACCUUUUCCAUUAAAAUUUCCUUGAGUGCUAGCUGAUAGCUAAGUUUUUAGAACAGGCGAGUGAAAAAUACCUCAGCAGAUUCACUGUGAAAAUAGUAAUCAUUUUGUAAAAAAGGGCAAAUCGAAGAAAACAUGGGAUUAUGCACCAGGAUGGAUAAGAUUUAGAUGUCAGCAGUUUGUGGGUCUGUAACUAGUAAGCUUAUUCUAGAGCUUGGGUUAG